AACGUAGGACACGAGCGUUAUCCGGAGUUACUGGGCGUAAAGGGCGUGCAGGCGGUUGGGUAAGUUAGGCGUGAAAGCUCCCGGCUAAACCGGGAGAGGUCGUCUGAUACUGCUCGACUAGAGUAUGGUAGAGGGGUGUAGAAUUCCGGGCGUAGUGGUGAAAUGCGUAGAGAUCCGGAGGAAUACCAGUGGCGAAGGCGGCACCCUGGGCCAUAACUGACGCUAAGACGCGAAAGCAUGGGUAGCGAACGGG
rnacentral:misc_RNA from 1 species